rnacentral:lncRNA from 1 species
UGGAGAGGUACAAGUCGCACUUGGAGAAGUGUAGGGAGCAACACCCAAUAAAACUAUAUAUAAGUAACAUUAACUAUUUUAGCCCAUAUGUGUUUGGAGCCCAAAUACAAAGUUGGCCCAGACCAUCUUUCAAACACCACAUCAUUUUUUAUUCUUCUAUGUACCUAUUCAAUUUCUGUACGCACUUCUAAUGAUUCUUCACCACUGCG